GGGGCCCAAGCGGGGGUCGGAGCCUCAAGGCUGCGGCGGCGACGAGCUCCGAGCGGGACACUGAACGGCCCGUAUGCGCAAGAUAAGCACGGACUGAAUCAGGUACACGCACCUGCCGGGGACGCACUGACCGAGGUGCGGACGGCGGUACCAGGACAGGUAAAGCCGCGAACACUCGGACCUAAGAACUUGACAGGUACACCCUGCCUGAUGAAGCUACGUACGGCCAGGGUGAGAACCUACUUCUUCAUAAAGAGAAUUUGGAGGGAGCUUUUUGUUCUGCGGGGACAACAUCUGGAUUUGAAUACAUCCAUGCUCAAAAGGAGAUUUCUCAUAAUGGACCCAACUGAAAGCACUCAGAGUACAAGGACCGGUGAGCUUUCAAAAGGAGACACUUCGGGAGACUCGCCAGGGGCCCUCGUAUCCCCGGCAGCGCGAGUUUUGGAGGUCAGUGGAGGGCUCUCGCAUCAUGCAUGUAACUUUCAUACUCAAAAACUUACCUUCAUCCUGCAUCCCUCACCCCCCUGCAGAAACUUGGGGCUUGAAUUCAUUUAAAAACAUUUGCGGUUUCAGAAGCCUUCUUUUUAUUAUGAAGCUGCCAAGGAGAUCUUAGAAUGAAAGGCAUUUUUAGAGAUGAGAAAGAAGGAAGCCAGGCCAAGGCUGGGCCGGCUCUCAGCCGUGGGUCUGUAAAGGUGACACGUGGGACAUGGCCACCUGCAGACCCUGCAGGCGGCUGGGCAGAGGCACCCACAGGGACCUGGGUUUGAAUCCCUGCUCUGCCAGUCAUUUCCACAGCGAUCUUGGGGGAAGUUGUGUAACCUCUGGGCCCUGCGACGCCCUUUCCUGGAGCCUGGAGCUGGAACGAAGCCCCUUGGAGCCCUGACAUCAGAGGUGACGUUAGUCUUCGCAGGCAAUGACUCGGCGGAAUGUGAUGCCACUCCCUAACCCGUGUCCGGACUGGCAGAGUGUGUGCCGCCUCCCACCAGGUGGUCUGGCUGCUUUGAUGGAUCUCCUAACUUCUCUGCACCCCAGAGCCCUCAGUGCUGGCCAGACCUUCACUCACUCCUGGGUGACAACCCCGUUCUCAGAUAGUGGGUCCCACAGGCUGGCCUGUGGCGCCCCCUGCUGGUGACUGCAGGGAGAAGGAUGCCCUAAGCCAAAGGAAGUCCUUCCUGGGGUCUAAUCUCUACCUUUUGCAUGAUGAGGCAGCUGAGGUGGCUCGCUUUCUCCUCCACCCCAGAAAAUAAAGUCAUAUGGAGUCCAA
ensembl:lncRNA LITATS1 lncRNA induced by TGF-beta and antagonizes TGF-beta signaling 1